rnacentral:rRNA from 1 species
UAGAAUCUCAGUUCGGACUGUAGGCUGCAACUCGCCUACACAAAGUUGGAAUUGCUAGUAAUCGUGGAUCAGCAUGCCACGGUGAAUACGUUCCCGGGUCUUGUACACACCGCCCGUCACACCAUGGGAGCUGGUAACACCCGAAGUCAGUAGUCUAACCUCGUGAGGACGCCGCCGAAGGUGGGCUUGAUAAUUGGGGUGAAGUCGUAACAAGGUAUC